GAAAUGCGAUAAGUAAUGUGAAUUGCAGAAUUCAGUGAAUCAUCGAAUCUUUGAACGCACCUUGCGCUCCUUGGUAUUCCUUGGAGCAUGCCUGUUUGAGUAUCAUGAAAUCUUCAAAGUAAAUCUUUUGUUAACUCAAUUGGUUUCUACUUUGGUAUUGGAGGUCUUUGCAGCUUCACACCUGCUCCUCUUUGUUCAUUAGCUGGAUCUCAGUGUUAUGCUUGGUUCCACUCGGCUUGAUAAGUUAUCUAUCGCUGAGGACACUGUAAAAGGUGGCCAAGGUAAAUGCAGAUGAACCGCUUCUAAUAGUCCAUUGACUUGGACAAUACUUUUAUGAUCUGAUCUCAAAUCAGGUAGGACUACCCGCUGAACUUAAGC
rnacentral:misc_RNA from 1 species